rnacentral:rRNA from 1 species
AUUGAACGCUGGCGGCAUGCCUUACACAUGCAAGUCGAACGGCAGCAUGGAGAGCUUGCUCUCUGAUGGCGAGUGGCGAACGGGUGAGUAAUGCAUCGGAACGUACCGUGUAAUGGGGGAUAACGUAGCGAAAGUUACGCUAAUACCGCAUACGACCUGAGGGUGAAAGCAGGGGAUCGCAAGACCUUGCGUUAUACGAGCGGCCGAUGUCAGAUUAGCUAGUUGGUGAGGUAAAGGCUCACCAAGGCGACGAUCUGUAGCGGGUCUGAGAGGAUGAGCCGCCACACUGGGACUGAGAAACGGCCCAGACUCCUACGGGAGGCACCAGUGGGGAAGUUUGGACAAUGGGGGCAACCCUGAUCCAGCCAUGCCGCGUGAGUGAAGAAGGCCUUCGGGUUGUAAAGCUCUUUCGGCCGGGAAGAAAUCGCACAGGCUAAUACUCUGUGUGGAUGACGGUACCGGCAUAAGAAGCACCGGCUAACUACGUGCCAGCCGCCGCCGUAA